AUUGAACGCUGGCGGCAGGCCUAACACAUGCAAGUCGAGCGGAUGAAGGGAGCUUGCUCCUGGAUUCAGCGGCGGACGGGUGAGUAAUGCCUAGGAAUCUGCCUGGUAGUGGGGGAUAACGUCCGGAAACGGGCGCUAAUACCGCAUACGUCCUGAGGGAGAAAGUGGGGGAUCUUCGGACCUCACGCUAUCAGAUGAGCCUAGGUCGGAUUAGCUAGUUGGUGGGGUAAAGGCCUACCAAGGCGAUGAUCCGUAACUGGUCUGAGAGGAUGAUCAGUCACACUGGAACUGAGACACGGUCCAGACUCCUACGGGAGGCAGCAGUGGGGAAUAUUGGACAAUGGGCGAAAGCCUGAUCCAGCCAUGCCGCGUGGGUGAAGAAGGUCUUCGGAUUGUAAAGCACUUUAAGUUGGGAGGAAGGGCAGUAAGUUAAUACCUUGCUGUUUGGACGUUACCAACAGAAUAAGCACCGGCUAACUUCGU
rnacentral:rRNA from 1 species